CCGAGGUUGGUGACGGAAGCAGGAGAUGCCAUGGCAAGAUACUCUUAGCAAUACUGCCUUGCACUCAUAAAUGUUGACAGCACAAGGUGUUUGAUACUUUGAUAGCAGCGCUACCUGUUCGAUAAU